CCUACGGGAGGCAGCAGUGGGGAAUAUUGGGCAAUGGGCGCAAGCCUGACCCAGCAACGCCGCGUGAAGGAAGAAGGCUUUCGGGUUGUAAACUUCUUUUGUCAGGGAAGAGUAGAAGACGGUACCUGACGAAUAAGCCACGGCUAACUACGUGCCAGCAGCCGCGGUAAUACGUAGGUGGCAAGCGUUGUCCGGAUUUAUUGGGUGUAAAGGGCGUGUAGCCGGGUUGACAAGUCAGAUGUGAAAUCCUGCGGCUUAACCGCAGAACUGCAUUUGAUACUGUUGAUCUUGAGUACUGGAGAGGCAGACGGAAUUCCGAGUGUAGCGGUGAAAUGCGUAGAUAUUAGGAGGAACACCAGUGGCGAAGGCGGUCUGCUGGACAGCAACUGACGGUGAGGCGCGAAAGCGUGGGGAGCAAACAGGAUUAGAUACCCGGGUAGUC
rnacentral:rRNA from 1 species